rnacentral:rRNA from 1 species
CACACGUGCUACAAUGGACAGAACAAAGGGCAGCGAAACCGCGAGGUUAAGCCAAUCCCACAAAUCUGUUCUCAGUUCGGAUCGCAGUCUGCAACUCGACUGCGUGAAGCUGGAAUCGCUAGUAAUCGCGGAUCAGCAUGCCGCGGUGAAUACGUUCCCGGGCCUUGUACACACCGCCCGUCACACCACGAGAGUUUGUAACACCCGAAGUCGGUGAGGUAACCUUUUAGGAGCCAGCCGCCGAAGGUGGGACAGAUGAUUGGGGUGAAGUCGUAACAAGGUAGCCGUAUCGGAAGGUGCGGCUGGAUCACCUCCUUUCUAAGGA